rnacentral:rRNA from 1 species
GACGAACGCUGGCGGCGUGCCUAAUACAUGCAAGUAGAACGCACAGUUUAUACCGUAGCUUGCUACACCAUAGACUGUGAGUUGCGAACGGGUGAGUAACGCGUAGGUAACCUGCCUGGUAGCGGGGGAUAACUAUUGGAAACGAUAGCUAAUACCGCAUAAUAUUAAUUAUUGCAUGAUAAUUAAUUGAAAGGUGCAAUUGCACCACUACCAGAUGGACCUGCGUUGUAUUAGCUAGUAGGUGAGGUAACGGCUCACCUAGGCGACGAUACAUAGCCGAACUGAGAGGGUGGUCGGCCACACUGGGACUGAGACACGGCCCAGACUCCUACGGGAGGCAGCAGUAGGGAAUCUUCGGCAAUGGACGAAAGUCUGACCGAACAACGCCGCGUGAGUGAAGAAGGUUUUCGGAUCGUAAAGCUCUGUUGUAAGAGAAGAACGGGUGUGAGAGUGGAAAGUUCACACUGUGACGGUAUCUUACCAGAAAGGGACGGCUAACUACGUG